rnacentral:rRNA from 1 species
CUGGCGGCGUGCCUAAUACAUGCAAGUCGAACGAAUCUUCUUCGGAAGAUGAGUGGCGAACGGGUGAGUAAUACAUAGGUAACCUGCCCCUGUGCGGGGGAUAACAGGAGGAAACUCCUGCUAAUACCGCAUAGCCAUGAGCACCGCAUGGAGCUCAUGCCAAAUAUCCUUUCGGGGAUAGCGCAGGGAUGGACCUAUGGCGCAUUAGCUAGUUGGCGGGGCAACGGCCCACCAAGGCAACGAUGCGUAGCCGGCCUGAGAGGGCGGACGGCCACAUUGGGACUGAGACACGGCCCAGACUCCUACGGGAGGCAGCAGUAGGGAAUUUUCGGCAAUGGGGGAAACCCUGACCGAGCAACGCCGCGUGAGCGAAGAAGGCCUUCGGGUCGUAAAGCUCUGUUGUAAAGGAAGAACGGCGCAUACAGGAAAUGGUAUGCGAGUGACGGUACUUUACCAGAAAGCCACGGCUAACUACGUGCCAGCAGCCGCGGUAAUACGUAGGUGGCGAGCGUUAUCCGGAAUCAUUGGGCGUAAAGAGGGAGCAGGCGGCCGCAAGGGUCUGUGGUGAAAGACCGAAGCUAAACUUCGGUAAGCCAUGGAAACCGGGCGGCUAGAGUGCGGAAGAGGAUCGUGGAAUUCCAUGUGUAGCGGUGAAAUGCGUAGAUAUAUGGAGGAACACCAGUGGCGAAGGCGACGGUCUGGGCCGCAACUGACGCUCAUUCCCGAAAGCGUGGGGAGCAAAUAGGAUUAGAUACCCUAGUAGUCCACGCCGUAAACGAUGGUCACUAAGUGUCGGGGGUCAAACCCCGGUGCUGCAGUCAACGCAAUAAGUGACCCGCCUGAGUAGUACGUUCGCAAGAAUGAAACUCAAAGGAAU